rnacentral:rRNA from 1 species
UGACCGAUAGUGAACCAGUACCGUGAGGGAAAGGUGAAAAGCACCCCGGAAGGGGAGUGAAAUAGAACCUGAAACCGUGUGCUUACAAGUAGUCAGAGCCCGUUAAUGGGUGAUGGCGUGCCUUUUGUAGAAUGAACCGGCGAGUUACGAUUUGAUGCAAGGUUAAGCAGUAAAUGUGGAGCCGUAGCGAAAGCGAGUCUGAAUAGGGCGUUUAGUAUUUGGUCGUAGACCCGAAACCAGGUGAUCUACCCUUGGUCAGGUUGAAGUUCAGGUAACACUGAAUGGAGGACCGAACCGACUUACGUUGAAAAGUGAGCGGAUGAACUGAGGGUAGCGGAGAAAUUCCAAUCGAACCUGGAGAUAGCUGGUUCUCUCCGAAAUAGCUUUAGGGCUAGCCUCAAGUGAUGAUUAUUGGAGGUAGAGCACUGUUUGGACGAGGGGCCCCUCUCGGGUUACCGAAUUCAGACAAACUCCGAAUGCCAAUUAAUUUAACUUGGGAGUCAGAACAUGGGUGAUAAGGUCCGUGUUCGAAAGGGAAACAGCCCAGACCACCAGCUAAGGUCCCAAAAUAUAUGUUAAGUGGAAAAGGAUGUGGCGUUGCCCAGACAACUAGGAUGUUGGCUUAGAAGCAGCCAUCAUUUAAAGAGUGCGUAAUAGCUCACUAGUCGAGUGACACUGCGCCGAAAAUGUACCGGGGCUAAACAUAUUACCGAAGCUGUGGAUUGUCCUUUGGACAAUGGUAGGAGAGCGUUCUAAGGGCGUUGAAGCAUGAUCGUAAGGACAUGUGGAGCGCUUAGAAGUGAGAAUGCCGGUGUGAGUAGCGAAAGACGGGUGAGAAUCCCGUCCACCGAUUGACUAAGGUUUCCAGAGGAAGGCUCGUCCGCUCUGGGUUAGUCGGGUCCUAAGCUGAGGCCGACAGGCGUAGGCGAUGGAUAACAGGUUGAUAUUCCUGUACCACCUAUAAUCGUUUUAAUCGAUGGGGGGACGCAGUAGGAUAGGCGAAGCGUGCGAUUGGAUUGCACGUCUAAGCAGUAAGGCUGAGUAUUAGGCAAAUCCGGUACUCGUUAAGGCUGAGCUGUGAUGGGGAGAAGACAUUGAGUCUUCGAGUCGUUGAUUUCACACUGCCGAGAAAAGCCUCUAGAUAGAAAAUAGGUGCCCGUACCGCAAACCGACACAGGUAGUCAAGAUGAGAAUUCUAAGGUGAGCGAGCGAACUCUCGUUAAGGAACUCGGCAAAAUGACCCCGUAACUUCGGGAGAAGGGGUGCUCUUUAGGGUUAACGCCCAGAAGAGCCGCAGUGAAUAGGCCCAAGCGACUGUUUAUCAAAAACACAGGUCUCUGCUAAACCGUAAGGUGAUGUAUAGGGGCUGACGCCUGCCCGGUGCUGGAAGGUUAAGAGGAGUGGUUAGCUUCUGCGAAGCUACGAAUCGAAGCCCCAGUAAACGGCGGCCGUAACUAUAACGGUCCUAAGGUAGCGAAAUUCCUUGUCGGGUAAGUUCCGACCCGCACGAAAGGCGUAACGAUUUGGGCACUGUCUCAACGAGAGACUCGGUGAAAUCAUAGUACCUGUGAAGAUGCAGGUUACCCGCGACAGGACGGAAAGACCCCGUGGAGCUUUACUGUAGCCUGAUAUUGAAAUUCGGCACAGCUUGUACAGGAUAGGUAGGAGCCUUUGAAACGUGAGCGCUAGCUUACGUGGAGGCGCUGGUGGGAUACUACCCUAGCUGUGUUGGCUUUCUAACCCGCACCACUUAUCGUGGUGGGAGACAGUGUCAGGCGGGCAGUUUGACUGGGGCGGUCGCCUCCUAAAAGGUAACGGAGGCGCUCAAAGGUUCCCUCAGAAUGGUUGGAAAUCAUUCAUAGAGUGUAAAGGCAUAAGGGAGCUUGACUGCGAGACCUACAAGUCGAGCAGGGUCGAAAGACGGACUUAGUGAUCCGGUGGUUCCGCAUGGAAGGGCCAUCGCUCAACGGAUAAAAGCUACCCCGGGGAUAACAGGCUUAUCUCCCCCAAGAGUUCACAUCGACGGGGAGGUUUGGCACCUCGAUGUCGGCUCAUCGCAUCCUGGGGCUGUAGUCGGUCCCAAGGGUUGGGCUGUUCGCCCAUUAAAGCGGUACGCGAGCUGGGUUCAGAACGUCGUGAGACAGUUCGGUCCCUAUCCGUCGUGGGCGUAGGAAAUUUGAGAGGAGCUGUCCUUAGUACGAGAGGACCGGGAUGGACAUACCUCUGGUGUACCAGUUGUCGUGCCAACGGCAUAGCUGGGUAGCUAUGUGUGGACGGGAUAAGUGCUGAAAGCAUCUAAGCAUGAAGCCCCCCUCAAGAUGAGAUUUCCCAACUUCGGUUAUAAGAUCCCUCAAAGAUGAUGAGGUUAAUAGGUUCGAGGUGGAAGCAUGGUGACAUGUGGAGCUGACGAAUACUAAUCGAUCGAAGACUUAAUCAA